rfam:Colletotrichum higginsianum, IMI 349063, WGS project CACQ02000000 data, contig: cont1.1849
GGACCCAUGGCGCAACGGUAGCGCGUUCGACUCCAGCUCUUGGAUUCAUCGAAAGGUUAUCUGUUCGAAUCAGGUUGGGUUCA